rnacentral:lncRNA from 1 species
CUGGUGGUAGGGCAAGUGAAAGGAGACUUUGAGGCUCAAGAAGAGAAUAUGAAAAAGUACCUCUAGAAGGUGAAGGACCAAACUUUGAUAUUUGCUGACUUUGACAUUUAGUAGGUAUCUCGAUCUAAAAUUUUGAGAGCCGAUCUACUAUCCAAAUUGGCAACAUUUGCUCCAAAAGAUCUCCUCUAGAAAUUAUUCUUCAAGGUUC